UACUUGUUUAUUUAACUUCCUACCUACCUACUACCUACUGCCUACUUACAGCGAUUGGUGUGCUGACAGACCGCCGCUAAACCCACCGCACCAGCCCACAAGACUCCAACAACAGCUGCAUGAGGCCCUCUCGCAUCGUACGGCACGGUACGGCAGAUGCAUGUCGCUCCUGCUACCCGCGGCACAUCCACAUGGUCCCGUACAUGAAACGCAAUGCUUCCCCUUCCUCGAUCAUCCGCAUGACCGGCAAGAGUUGUCCCUUGCCGAGGCCCUCGCCCUCACGCACCGAACAGGCAGAACCUGGGCAUGCGCUGUCCGACCACUCCGCUGACCACCGGGCCGCUGUGAAUGCCGACGCGCAUCUGGACAGG
rnacentral:lncRNA from 1 species